rnacentral:rRNA from 1 species
GACGAACGCUGGCGGCGUGCCUAAUACAUGCAAGUCGAACGCACUCUCGUUUAGAUUGAAGGAGCUUGCUCCUGAUUGAUAAACAUUUGAGCGAGUGGCGGACGGGUGAGUAACACGUGGGUAACCUGCCCUAAAGUGGGGGAUAACAUUUGGAAACAGAUGCUAAUACCGCAUAAAACCUAACACCGCAUGGUGUAGGGUUGAAAGAUGGUUUCGGCUAUCACUUUAGGAUGGACCCGCGGUGCAUUAGUUAGUUGGUGAGGUAAAGGCUCACCAAGACCGUGAUGCAUAGCCGACCUGAGAGGGUAAUCGGCCACACUGGGACUGAGACACGGCCCAGACUCCUACGGGAGGCAGCAGUAGGGAAUCUUCCACAAUGGACGAAAGUCUGAUGGAGCAACGCCGCGUGAGUGAAGAAGGUUUUCGGAUCGUAAAACUCUGUUGUUGGAGAAGAAUGUAUCUGAUAGUAACUGAUCAGGUAGUGACGGUAUCCAACCAGAAAGCCACGG